rnacentral:rRNA from 1 species
UAGGGAAUCUUCCGCAAUGGACGCAAGUCUGAUGGAGCAACGCCGCGUGAGUGAAGAAGGCUUUCGGGUCGUAAAACUCUGUUGUUGGAGAAGAAUGGUCGGCAGAGUAACUGUUGUCGGCGUGACGGUAUCCAACCAGAAAGCCACGGCUAACUACGUGCCAGCAGCCGCGGUAAUACGUAGGUGGCAAGCGUUAUCCGGAUUUAUUGGGCGUAAAGCGAGCGCAGGCGGUUUUUUAAGUCUGAUGUGAAAGCCCUCGGCUUAACCGA